rnacentral:tRNA from 1 species
CGGGAUGUGGCGCAGUUUGGCUAGCGCGCCUGCCUUGGGAGCAGGAGGCCGGGGGUUCAAAUCCCUCCAUCCCGACCA